UUUCCCUCAGGAUAGCUGGCACUCGCUUGAGCGAGUCUCAUCUGGUAAAGCGAAUGAUUAGAGGCCUUGGGGCCGAAACGACCUCAACCUAUUCUCAAACUUUAAAUGGGUGAGAUCUCUGGCUUGCUUGAAUAGUGAAGCCACGAGAUGUAAAAAAGAAUAAAUUUUUUUUUUCAAUGGAUCAGAGUGCCAAGUGGGCCAAUUUUGGUAAGCAGAACUGGCGCUGUGGGA
rnacentral:rRNA from 1 species